ACGGAAGGCAGCAGUGGGGAAUAUUGCACAAUGGGCGAAAGCCUGAUGCAGCGACGCCGCGUGAGUGAUGAAGUAUUUCGGUAUGUAAAGCUCUAUCAGCAGGGAAGAAAAUGACGGUACCUGACUAAGAAGCCCCGGCUAACUACGUGCCAGCAGCCGCGGUAAUACGUAGGGGGCAAGCGUUAUCCGGAUUUACUGGGUGUAAAGGGAGCGUAGACGGCCAGACAAGUCUGAUGUGAAAGCCCGGGGCCCAACCCCGGAACUGCAUUGGAAACUGCCAGGCUGGAGUGCAGGAGAGGCAAGUGGAAUUCCUAGUGUAGCGGUGAAAUGCGUAGAUAUUAGGAGGAACACCAGUGGCGAAGGCGGCUUGCUGGACUGUAACUGACGUUGAGGCUCGAAAGCGUGGGGAGCAAACAGGAUUAGAUACCCUGGUA
rnacentral:rRNA from 1 species